rnacentral:lncRNA from 1 species
AUUUGUAUGGUCUCAGAGUUUUCAUGAAUCACAUUAAAUAAGGGGGGAAAUUUAAAAAUAACCAUUUUCACUUAGAUGAUUUUUAAAAUGUCAUACAACCUUUAAUGUAUUACAGUGUGCCUACACUGAAUUCUAUAGAGUUAAGAUUCUUAGCUUAUCCAUGUAAAUGCGCCCCCUCAUCCUACUCGUUGAAGCUGGUUAGAUUUCCCCUUAUGUGCUCACUGGCUGCAAUCUUAUAUAGAUAGCAUUUCUUGAAGAGAACCACAUUGCUUCUCAAAUAUGCAUUUGAAAUAUCUGUCCUUUCUAAAAGGCCUAAUUUCAAAGAAUCAUUUAUACAUUUUCUUCCACUGAGACUUAUACAAAUAGUAAGUUAGUUUUUUAAUCAGUUGUAAUAUAAAAUUAAUUUUCACAUGUUCACACUGAAAUUGUAGCUCAAAACCAUCUAGAAAAAACUAUU